GAUGGUGGUGCAUGUCUGUUCUUAGUUGGUGUAACGAUUUGUAUGAUUAAUUUUGAUAAUGAACGAGACUCUAGCCUAUUAAAUAGGUGCGUGGUUCUCUGCACCUUCUACCUUUAUUAGCGGCUCCUAGCCUCACGAAACAGAGCAAUAACAGGUCUAUGAUGCCCU
rnacentral:rRNA from 1 species